rnacentral:rRNA from 1 species
GAUGAACGCUGGCGGCGUGCCUAAUACAUGCAAGUCGAGCGAACAGACGAGGAGCUUGCUCCUCUGACGUUAGCGGCGGACGGGUGAGUAACACGUGGAUAACCUACCUAUAAGACUGGGAUAACUUCGGGAAACCGGAGCUAAUACCGGAUAAUAUAUUGAACCGCAUGGUUCAAUAGUGAAAGACGGUUUUGCUGUCACUUAUAGAUGGAUCCGCGCCGCAUUAGCUAGUUGGUAAGGUAACGGCUUACCAAGGCAACGAUGCGUAGCCGACCUGGUGGGGUGAUCGGCCACACUGGAACUGAGACACGGUCCAGACUCCUACGGGAGGCAGCAGUAGGGAAUCUUCCGCAAUGGGCGAAAGCCUGACGGAGCAACGCCGCGUGAGUGAUGAAGGUCUUCGGAUCGUAAAACUCUGUUAUUAGGGAAGAACAAAUGUGUAAGUAACUAUGCACGUCUUGACGGUACCUAAUCAGAAAGCCACGGCUAACUACGUG